rnacentral:tRNA from 1 species
GCCGGGUUAGUUCAACGGAAGAACGCUUGUCUUACAAGCAAGCUAUGCGGGUUCGACUCCUGCACCCGGCACCA